GAGAAAGAAGCAUAAUGGAUUUAAUGCGGUUGGCUUGAAACCAUCAUUUGGAGGUUCAAUUCCUUCCUUUCUUG
rnacentral:tRNA from 1 species